rnacentral:lncRNA from 1 species
UCUGCUGUUACAAAUAAAGUUCAGGAACAUUGGUGACUAAUUUUAGUGUUGCAUCAACCUAACUGACUGUAAGUCUUCUGUCUUAAACACAGACCAAAUCAGGCCAGGGUGAGUAAAGUUGGAGAUCCCUUAAGCACAUGCUACAGAGUCCCAUGUGCCCGGAACAUCAAAGACUCUCUCAUUGUCUCCUACAGCUUGCCCCAGUAAGCAACCAACUACACGUCCCAUUUCUUUAGGGUGUGAUAACAUCAAGAAUAUAAACAGUAAAAUUGAUGUUCCACAUGAAAGGCAGCCAUUUCAGCCAGGUAGAAGAGCUUUCUCUCAAGAUAACCAUCACAUUUCAUUAUGCAGAAGUAUAUGAAAGGAUAUUACUUCCAGUUUCUCUAGGUUCAAAAGAAAGAGGAGUGAAGAGGAGUAAAACACACAUCUAUUAAAAAGCAAGAAGAUUAAAUAAAUUGAAGCUUUUUAUUUCUCUUUCUCUGCCUAAGUGACGCAUUUGUGAGCAUGACUGUCAAAGAAGCAAAUAAGCAUGUAGAAGGUGACUUUAUGGCGGCAUCCAUAAAGAAAAUUGAAGUGGGGGAAGUGGCAACGUUUUGGGUAAUUCAGGAAAGUGAGGGAAAUAUAUAGUUUGGAUUCUGAAUUAUUUAUUCAGGCUUUCUAUGUUAAUCCAAUCCAUCUUAGUUGUUACUCAAUUUUACAUUUCCUGUGUAGCUGUAGGCUGUAAUAUGUUCCUUUUAGUGUGAUCCUAGUAGAUUCACAGUCAGUGGGCUGAAUGGGCUUUCCUUGUCUUCUCAUUUGUAUGCAAUGAUAAUUAUGGUUGUAGUAAACAUUUAUUGAACAUUUAUGUGCCAAUCACAGCUCUAAUUACUCUACUGCUCAUUCAUCCUUUAUAAUGGCUCUAUGAGGUAGAUAUUAACAUUUCCAUUUUAUAGAUGAAGAAAACAAGACUCAGACGACUCAAAAAAUUUGCACAACUGCAAGUAGCACAUCUAGAGUUCAAAAUUGCUUGACUAAUUUUAAGGCUCUGCUUUUUAUCUGCUACACUAUGCUGAGAGCUGUGAAAAUGAGGUUUGAUUCAAAGGCAACCUUAGUGUUGUUUUCGGUCCUCAUUCUAUAGCUUAAUUCAUAGCAAGUAGCAUAUAAGAAAAAACUGUGAGGAUGAAACACAACGGCACCGAGUGUGGGAUCUAGUUUUCUGAAAAGCCUCAGAGGAGUCAGGUAUUGCAACUUGCAAAGAUGUGAGGGAUGAGGAUUGCUCAAUGGAAUAUGAAAGGUGGAAGAGACCUGGGCAGAUUAAUUUCUCCACCUUCCUCUCUCUAACAGACUGCCCCAAGAUGUGAUUCUUCUUUGCAGUCUUUCUGGAGAAGUUGUAUGUGACAAGCAAACAUAUCUCCUGAGUGUCCUGUUGGUCUCGUGGCAGCUUGUUGUAAAGUGGAGAAACAUCAUUUCACAUCACUUUUUCUUUGCCUCACUUCUCUCUCUCUUUUUUUUUUUUUUUUUUUUUUUUUUUUUAUCUCACCCUCACUCUUUUGGGCUUACACCUUCCAAAUAAAAGGUAUGCUACCAUAAUGGGGUGCUCGAUGGGGUGCCUCAUGUAAUACUUCUUAAA